rnacentral:lncRNA from 1 species
GAUUUCUGCUCUGAUCUUUAUGAUUUCUUUCCUUCUACUAACUUUAGGUCUUGUCUGUUCUUCUCUCUCGAGCUGCUUUAGAUGUAAAGUUAGCUUGUUUAUUUGAGCUUUUUCUUGUUUCCUGAGGUGGGCUUGUAUUGCUAUAAACUUUCCUCUUAGAACGGCUUUUGCUGCAUCCCAUAGGUUUUGGAGUGUCGUAUCUUCGUUGUCAUUUGCUGCUAGGUAUUUUUUAAUUUCCUCUUUGAUUUCUUCAGUGAUCCAUUGGUUGUUUAGUAGCAUGUUGUUGAGUCUCCACGUGUUUGUGUUUUUUGCAGUUUUUUUCUUGUUGUUGAUUUCCAGUCGUAUAGCGUUGUGGUCGGAAAAGAUGCUUGAUAUGAUUUCAAUUUUCUUAAAGUUACUGAGGUUGGAUUUGUAGCCCAGGAUAUGAUCAAUCUUAGAGAAUGUUCCAUGUGCACUUGAGAAGAAUGUGUAUUCUGUUGCUUUUGGAUGAAAUGUCCUAUAAAUAUCUAUUAAGUCCAUCUGGUUUAAUGCUUCAUUCAGGGCCUGUGUUUCCUUAUUGAUUUUCUGUCUGGUUGAUCUGUCCAUUGCUGUAAGUGGGGUGUUAAAGUCCCCCACUAUGAUUGUGUUAUUGUCGAUUUCUCCUUUUAAGGUUGUUAGCAGUUGCCUUAUAUAUUGUGGUGAACCUGUGUUGGGUGCGUAGAUAUUUAAAAUUGUUAUAUCAUCUUCUUGGAUUGAUCCUUUGAUCAUUAUGUAAUGUCCUUCUUUGUCCCUUAAAAUAUUCUUCAUUUUAAAGUCUAUUUUGUCUGAUAUGAGUAUUGCUACUCCAGCUUUCUUUUGAUCCCCGUUUGCAUGAAAUAUUUUCUUCCAUCCUCUCACUUUCAAUUUGUAUGUGUCCCUAGAAGUGAAGUGGGUCUCUUGAAGACAGCAUAUAUAUGGGUCUUGUUUUUGUAUCCAUUCAGCCAGUGUAUGUCUUUUGGUUGGGGUGUUUAGUCCAUUCACAUUUAAGGUAAUUACUGAUAUGUAUGUUCUUAUUGCCAUUUUAUUAAUUACUUUGGAUUUGUUUUUGCUGCUCUUUUUCCUUUCCUUCUUCUCUUGUUCUUUCUUGCCUAUAGAAGUUCCUUUAGUAUUUUUUGUAAGGCUGGUUUAGUGUUGCUGAAUUCUCUCAGCUUUUGCUUAUCUGUGAAGGUUUUGAUUUCUCCUUCAAAUCUGAACAAGAGCCUUGCUGGGGAGAGUAAUCUUGGUUGGAGGUUCUUUCCUUUCAUCACUUUGAGUAUCUCAUGCCACUCCCUUCUGGACUGCAGAGUUUCUGUUGGAAAAUCUGUGGAUAGCCUUAUUGGGGUUCCCUUGUAUGUUAUUUGUUUCUUUUCCCUAGCUGCUUUCAAGAUUUUCUCUUUGUCUUUAGUUUUGGUCAGUUUGAUUAGUAUGUGUCUCAGGGUGUUCCUUCUUGGGUUUAUUUUAUAUGGUACUCGUUGUGCUUCCUGGAUUUGAGGGAGUGGUUCCUUCCCCAUGUUAGGGAAGUUUUUAGCUAUUAUCUCUUGGAAUAUUUUUUCUGUUUCCUUCUCUCUCUCUUCUCCUUCUGGCACCCCUAUAAUACGGACGUUGGUACGUUUCACUUGUCCCAGAGUUCUCUGAGACUCUCUUCAUUUAUUUUCAAUCUUUUUUCUCUUUUCUGUUCUGCAUCCGUAAUUUCCACUAAUCUGUCCUCCACCUCGCUUAUUCAUUCUUCUGCCUCCUGUAUUCUGCUGUUAGCUGCUUCUAGUGAGUUUUUUAUUUUGUUUAUUUUAUUUUGCAUCUCUUCUUGUUUAAGUUUUAUAUCUUGUAUCUCUUUGCUCAGUGUUUCCUGUAAGUCAUCCAUCUUUUCCUCCAGUUUAUUUCCAAUGUCUUGCGUCAUCUUCAGCAUCAACAGUCUAAUGUCUUUUUCCUGGAGGCUGAGAAUCUCCUCAUGGCUUAGCUGUUUUUCUGGGGUUUUUCCUUUCUCCCUCAUCUGAGUUAUAGUUUUCUGUCUUUUCAUUUUUAUAGAUUUUUGGUGUGGUGAGCUUUUUACAGAUAAUAGAGUUGAGCCUCUCUUACUUCUGGUGUCUGCCCCCCUUGUGGCUGAAGUUGGCAUGGGGGCUUGGUGUAGUCUUCCUAAUGGGAGGGGCUGAUGCCUGCCCCUGGUAGGAGGAGCCGAUUCUACUCCCUCUGGUGGGUGGGACUUAGUCUCUGGAUGGGAUUAGAGGCAGCUGUGUGCCUGAGGGGUCUUUAGGGAGCCUGUUUACUGAGGGGUGGGGCUUUGAUCCCACCUGGGUUGUUUUUUGCCCUGGGGCUUCUCAGCAGCUGGCUGACAGGUGGGGCCAGAUUUUCCCAAAAUGGCCACCUCCAGAGAAAGGCACAGCUGCUGAAUAUUCCUGAGAGCUUUGCUUUCAAUGUCCUUCCCUCACAACAAGCCACGUUCACCCCUGUUUUCCCAGGAUGUCCUCCAAGAACUGCAGUCAGGUUUGUCCCAGGUUCCUAUGGAGACUUUGCUUUGCCCUGGGACUCAGUGCACAUGAAAGUCUGUGUGUGCCUUUUAAGAAUGGGGUCUCCAUUUCCCCCAGUCCCACGGAGCUCCUGUGCACAAGCCCCACUGGCCUUCAAUGCCAGAUGCUUCGGGGCUCUUUCUGCCAGUUCCAGAUCCCCACACGUGAGUUUGAUGUGUGGCUCAGAUGUCUCACUCCUGCAGGUGAGUCUCUGUGAAUCUGUUAGUUUUCAGUCUGUGGAGCUUCCCACCCGGGAGGUAUGGGGUGGUUUAUAUAAUGAAAUCACCCCUCCUAUCUCUUGAUAUGGCCUCCUCUU